CAGCACUGUUCAGCAUGGCUUUGGAUUCAACUCAAGGCGCUCAAUGCUAUAAACAUUUUCAAAUUUAAUGAAUUUUCUUGUUGGAUUUGUUUUUGAUAGGCCACGGAACAGGAAACGGAUUUUGAAAGGCUUGUUUCUGGGUGGUUCUGGAGACAGCGUGUCGAUCCAGCUGUAACGUCAUCCGGAGGUGCAGAGUGAUGGCCAGCCACGCGGCGCGCGUAUCGACAUUGACCAGAAACUAUCACAUCAUCUCCAGGUCACUGGUCGAGGGCGCUCGAGCUGACGGUGUCUUCCGACGGCUCCACGGUGACCAGCGCCGCCACCGCCGAGACCAUCCGACUCCUGAAAUGCUAACGGCCGUGCACGAACAAGAGGCUCUAAGCAUCCAGGUGCAAGGCAAGCGCCAUGCUCAGAUGUUUCCGAAGAAGGCCGCACAGUGCACUUUAGGGGUGAGCUCGGGUGUAGUGCGCGCCGACGGAUAGGAUGAAAUGACGGGCCGGCCAUCAGAUUUCACUUCAGUGCGGGGAUCAAGACGGUCGGAGCCGAUGUGGCUCGGUUGAUGGCAGGCUGCGGAGUCGGAGUCGGAGUCGGAGUCGGAGUCGGUCGGAGUCGACAGUUGUGACCGGAGUCGGAGUCGGAGUCGGAGUCGAUUUUAGAAACCCGAGCGGAGUCGGAGUCGGAGUCUCGAAAUCUGUCGACUCCGCAGCCCUGUUAGGUCUGCGGAGUCGGAGUCGGGAGUUGGAGUCGGUCGGAGUCGACAAUUCUGCCGGAGUCGGAGUUGGAGUCGGAGCUGGUUUUUGAAAGCCGGAGUGGGAGUCGGAGUCGGAGUCGCCGAAAAUCCAUCGACUCCGCAGCCCUGGUUGAUGGUGUGGCAGGGUUGAUUGAGAGUGAAAGCGAGACCCGGAUCUGUAAAGAAUACGCCGAUACGGGUCUCGAACGUCGUCUCGCAAUUUGUGCUCUGUAAUAUGGCGGCUAUGCCGUGGUAUCAUUCACUCUCGGUGCGCUAAUAAAUAAUAAAUAGGACAGAGGCUGGAAUUAAGAUAUUAUAUUUGGAUGUAAGGGGCAGGUUUGGGCCAGCGCUAUUUUAUAAAUCGUGAGCGUGCUAGUUGCAAUCAAUCGUGCGCUUCUUGUUGAGCAUCUGUGAGCGAGAAAAUACUUUCUUUGGAACUUAGCAGUUCGUCGUGAAAUAUUUGUAUCUUUGGAGUAAGUUGUCAGAACAUGAAUGCAUUUUUGGUGUCCACUGCAGCUGCUGUUCUGGAACAGAAACAUGCCGAGAUCGGCUGUGUUUGUAUGUUGUGGCAAAAUCAAGCAGCCGUACCAUGAAUCAAAAGCGAUAUGUGAAUUAAAGUGAAUAUUUCACUAUUUUUCA